UACGUAGGGGGCAAGCGUUGUCCGGAAUUAUUGGGCGUAAAGAGCGCGUAGGCGGUCCGAUAAGUCGGCUGUGAAAGUCAGGGGCUCAACCCUUGAAAGCCGGCCGAUACUGUCGGACUAGAGUCCGGAAGAGGCAAGUGGAAUUCCCGGUGUAGCGGUGAAAUGCGUAGAUAUCUGGAGGAACACCGGUGGCGAAGGCGACAUCCUGGACCGGUAUUGACGCUGAGGCGCGAAAGCCAGGGGAGCAAACGGG
rnacentral:rRNA from 1 species